rnacentral:rRNA from 1 species
AUUGAACGCUGGCGGAAUGCUUUACACAUGCAAGUCGAACGGCAGCACGGACUUCGGUCUGGUGGCGAGUGGCGAACGGGUGAGUAAUGUAUCGGAACGUGCCCAGUCGUGGGGGAUAACGUAGUGAAAAUUACGCUAAUACCGCAUACGAUCUAUGGAUGAAAGCGGGGGAUCGCAAGACCUCGCGCGAUUGGAGAGGCCGAUAUCAGAUUAGGUAGUUGGUGGGGUAAAGGCCCACCAAGCCAACGAUCUGUAGCUGGUCUGAGAGGACGACCAGCCACACUGGGACUGAGACACGGUCCAGACUCCUACGGGAGGCAGCAGUGGGGAAUUUUGGACAAUGGGCGAAAGCCUGAUCCAGCCAUUCCGCGUGCAGGAUGAAGGCCCUCGGGUUGUAAACUGCUUUUGUACAGAACGAAAAGGUUUCUACUAAUACUAGGAGCUCAUGACGGUACUGUAAGAAUAAGCACCGGCUAACUACGUGCCAGCCGCCGCGGUAA